CCUACGGGUGGCAGCAGUCGAGAAUCAUUCACAAUGGGGGAAACGCUGAUGGUGCGACGCCGCGUGGGGGAAUGAAGGUCUUCGGAUUGUAAACCCCUGUCAUGUGGGAGCAAAUUAAAAAGAUAGUACCACAAGAGGAAGAGACGGCUAACUCUGUGCCAGCAGCCGCGGUAAUACAGAGGUCUCAAGCGUUGUUCGGAAUCACUGGGCGUAAAGGGUGCGUAGGCUGUUUCGUAAGUCGUGUGUGAAAGGCGCGGGCUCAACCCGCGGACGGCACAUGAUACUGCGAGACUAGAGUAAGCGAGGAGGAACCGGAAUUCUCGGUGUAGCAGUGAAAUGCGUAGAUAUCGAGAGGAACACUCGUGGCGAAGGCGGGUUCCUGGACAUUAACUGACGCUGAGGCACGAAGGCCAGGGGAGCGAAAGGGAUUAGAUACCCGAGUAGUC
rnacentral:rRNA from 1 species